CGUACAUUUCAUAGUGGAAGGGACGGGAAGACCAUGACUGGUGUCUCAAGUUCAAUGCUUCUGAUUUUGUCCUUUUCAAUUCCUAAUGCAAAAAAAUUUCUGAUUUUGUCCCGCCGUCCACUUCCAAAUCCACUUUCACUAGCUCAUCACAUUUGAAUUCAGUCCACUAAUUUCACUUCAGGCCUUCUUUUUCUCAUGGUACUGCACAGGUCAACUCUCUUACGCCCUGUAGUAUAAAUCUGUGCAUCAUGUUCCAGCUCAGUCACAAGGACGAAGGAAGGGUAAGCACUUAAGCACGCGGUACCAGCUUCUCUUACUGCAACUCUACUUUGUCCUCAAUCCCUUUGCUUUAUUGAUGGAUUCUGAAGAUGUCCCAUCAGCCCCUUCAACGCCAGUUACUCCGGGGACUCCUGGAGCUCCCCUUUUUGGUGGGAUCAAGCCUGAGAGGAGUGGCAAUGGCAGAAGAUCCCUUCUUAGUAGCUGCAAGUGCUUCACGGUUGAAGCAUGGGCCUUGGAAGAAGGUACCUUACCCUCUGUCUCCUGCGCAUUGCCGCCUCCUCCCGUCUCACUUGCAAGAAAGGUGGGAGCUGAGUUUAUAGGCACUCUGAUACUGAUCUUUUCAGGGACAGCCACGGCCAUAGUAAAUCAAAAGACUCAAGACUCAGAGACUCUUAUAGGCCUAUCAGCAUCCACCGGACUCGCUGUUAUGAUUGUGAUUCUUGCCACAGGCCAUAUUUCAGGAGCCCAUAUCAAUCCAGCAGUCACCAUUGCCUUUGCUGCUCUCAAGCACUUUCCUUGGAAGCAUGUUCCAGCAUACAUAGCAGCACAAGUAUUGGCAUCAUUAGCUGCUGCAUUUAUACUCAAGGGAAUUUUCCAUCCUAUUAUGAGCGGGGGAGUAACUAUUCCAUCAGGAGAGUAUGGCCAAGCUUUUGCUUUAGAAUUCAUCAUUGGCUUCAAUCUCAUGUUUGUUGUUACUGCUGUGGCCACUGACACCAGAGCUAUUUUAAUGAAUAUUAAUUUGAACGACCACAUCAAGUUGUGCCACUACAAAAUUACAGACACUUGUUCAGGCAAAUCUGUCAGUGAUCUGGAAAUCAAUGUAAUGAUAUAAACAGGGUGGGGGAGCUUGCAGGAAUUGCAGUGGGAGCUACAGUCAUGCUCAACAUACUCAUAGCUGGGGAGUCAACGGGAGCGUCGAUGAAUCCAGUGAGAACUCUGGGUCCAGCUGUAGCAGCAAACAACUUCAAAGGCAUAUGGAUUUACCUGACUGCACCCGUACUUGGGGCACUGGCUGGUGCAGGUACUUACUCUGCUGUCAAGUUACCUGAUGAUGAUGCCAACCCUCAAAACAUGUCAUCAGCAGCACCCAGCUUCAGAAGGUGAACCAUGAUCGAUAGUGAUACACUCCGCUAGCUGGGGAACCAUUGCACAAAUUUGGCUCGUUGUCUCUAAGUUAACUGUACAGGCUUGGCACGAACUUUGGACGUGUUUUUUUUUUUUCGUAUUUUUUCCCCCCCUUCUUUUUUCUCAAUUUCUGUUGCUUGUUGGUUUAGAGACUGAAUGGAUAUGCAAAACCAAGCCGUUGAAUGAAUCUCGAUGACAAAACUGUUUUGCGA